rnacentral:rRNA from 1 species
UACGAAGGGGGGCUAGCGUUGCUCGGAAUGACUGGGCGUAAAGGGCGCGUAGGCGGUUUAGACAGUCAGAUGUGAAAUUCCCCGGGCUUAACCUGGGGGGCUGCAUUUGAUACGUCUAGGCUUGAGUGAGGAAGAGGGUUGUGGAAUUCCCAGUGUAGAGGUGAAAUUCGUAGAUAUUGGGAAGAACACCGGUGGCGAAGGCGGCAACCUGGUCCUUUACUGAGCUGAGGCGCGAAAGCGUGGGGAGCAAACAGG